GGACAACGCGCGGUCCGGACAGCGGAGGUGCGAAUAACAACAUAUUGCGCAUUGUCCUGCCGCUUUUAGGAAUUCUUCUUUUUGCCGGAAUAUUUACCAUCAUAAUUUGCUGUUAUAUGGCCUAUCGUCGGCGUGCAAAAAAGAAAGAAAUGGAUCUAAAGGAACUAAAGAUGUUUGAGGAAGCGUUUUUAAAGAUGGUUGCAGUGAAGAAGCCAGGCUAGUGCUGCCGCUUGCGGGACACCUUGCCAUUGUGGCAG